rnacentral:rRNA from 1 species
CUCCCGGUGAUCCUGCCGGACCCGACUGCUAUCGGAUUGAGAUUUAGCCAUGCGAGUCGAACGUCCCCCUGUUGCGGGGGGCGUGGCGUACGGCUCAGUAACACGUAGUCAACCUGCCCUGGAGACAAGGACAACCCCGGGAAACUGGGAUUAAUCCUUGAUAGGUCAUCUCAUCUGGAAGGAGAGAUGGCUUAAAGGGGUACGCGGGCUUCUUCCGCGAAUCUGCUCCAGGAUGGGACUGCGUCCGAUCAGGCUGUUGGCGGGGUAAUGGCCCACCAAACCUGUAACCGGUACGGGCCUUGAGAGAGGUGGCCCGGAGAUGGACACUGAGAGAAGGGUCCAGGUCCUACGGGGCGCAGCAGGCGCGAAACCUUCGCAAUGCGCGAAAGCGUGACGAGGUUAAUCCGAGUGACUCCCGCUGAGGGGGUCUUUUGUCAGCUGUAAAUAGGCAGGCGAAUAAGGGGAGGGCAAGCCUGGUGUCAGCCGCCGCGGUAAUACCAGCUCCUCGAGUGGUCGGGGCGAUUAUUGGGCCUAAAGCAUCCGUAGCCGGUUCCGUAGGUCCUCUGUUAAAUCCAACCGCUUAACGGUUGACCUGCAGAGGAUACCGCGGGACUAGGAGGCGGGAGAGGCGGACGGUACUCCGCGUGUAGGGGUAAAAUCCUUUGAUCCGCGGAAGACCACCAGUGGCGAAGGCGGUCCGCCAGAACGCGCUCGACGGUGAGGGAUGAAAGCUGGGGGAGCGAACCGGAUUAGAUACCCGGGUAGUCCCAGCCGUAAACGAUGCUAGCUAGAUGAUUCAUUCGCAAGUCGCGAAUGAAGUGUCGCAGGGAAGCCGUUAAGCUAGCCGCCUGGGGAGUACGGUCGCAAGACUGAAACUAAAAGGAAUGGCGGGGGAGCA